rnacentral:rRNA from 1 species
CACGUAGGGCGCAAGCGUUGUCCGGAAUUAUUGGGCGUAAAGAGCUCGUAGGCGGUCUGUUGCGUCCGCUGAGAAAACUCGGGGCUUAACCCCGAGCCUGCAGUGGAUACGGGCAGACUAGAGGUAGGUAGGGGAGAAUGGAAUUCCCGGUGUAGCGGUGAAAUGCGCAGAUAUCGGGAGGAACACCGGUGGCGAAGGCGGUUCUCUGGGCCUUACCUGACGCUGAGGAGCGAAAGCGUGGGGAGCGAACAGG